CCAUUUGCAUGUCGUCCAACGGUCACCUAUAUAGGUCUUGCCCGCAAGGGAUAUGGCGAUAAACGGUCAUUGUAAUAAACCCAUCGGACCCGGGGCAGUACCCGGCGUCUCCACCAUCUCCUCCCGAAAGGGGUGAGCCAAUGGGGACGAAACAGGAUCGACGAGGGCGUAAAGAGUGUGCUUUUGCUCGGUGAGGUACCACCGUUAUCGGUCCGAAACUUAUAGUUGCUAAUGACAACAAUAAGGCUCCAGUCGCUCUCGCCGCCUAAGCGGUGCUAGCAUUGGGAAAUUAAGUCCUCCGCCCCUAGCCGGGCGACAGGCGGGGUUCGCAGGCACCUGGCAACAGAAGCCUGCACU
rnacentral:tmRNA from 1 species